rnacentral:lncRNA from 1 species
UCCCGCUUGAGCUUGGCACAUAGCCUUGCGUGCGACUUCUUAGACAGAACCUCGGAUCUUACCAUUUUCUAAGGAAAUUGGACAAGUAUGUGAAUGCCAAAGUCCCCAGUCUGUCCUUUCACUGGCUUCUCUUAGGCCUGGACUGAUUGCAUGUUGCCCAGAAUAGCCAGUAAUGAGAGGUUAUUCUACAGGGUCUCCAACAGUGAGACUCAUAGAAAGCAACAUAAUGCAGGGGGCAUUUGAUUGCCCAUCAACAAUCUAAAUUUUUAACAAAGCUCUGUGGCACAUUAGAUACGUGACUAUAGAUAAAUGUGAUUCUUGUUGUAUCUUAUCUCAUCUGUAACUAAAGGAGCUGAUCAAUGUGAUAUUGAAAAUCUCUGGAUUCUGUGCAUCUAAGGGUAGACCAAUAAAAGCACCAAUAAUUAGCAUGCGCAGUUAUGCCAAGAAGGACAUACAGUGCCUGGGUUACUAUGUUAGGCACAGCCAUCCGAGCACCCACCCAGUCACUAGCACAUGAACCUCCAUUGGUUAUCAUGUUCGAUGCUACAACAGCAGCACCCACUCUCUCAUCCAAUCAUCAGUCAUAUGACAAGAUAGUUCCUGACACUGGAAAGAGAAAGAUGAGUCAAAAUCGAAUCCUCCUGCUAUUGCCCGUAGCUCACUAAGGGGAGGUAAAUAUAUUCGUAACUAAUGGCGAUAUGUGGAAAUUUCAGGAUGUUCAGAACAAAGA